rnacentral:rRNA from 1 species
CACGCAGUAAACGAUGCAGACUAGGCGUGGGGGGACUUGACCCCCUCCGUGCCGGAGCUAACGCGGGAAGUCUGCCGCCUGGGGAGUACGGCCGCAAGGCUAAAACUCAAAGGAAUUGACGGGGGCCCGCACAAGCGGCGGAGCGUGUUGUUUAAUUCGUCGCAACGCGAAAAACCUUACCAGGGCUUGACAUGGACCUGCAGUUCCCGGGAAACCGGGGGCGCCUUCGAGGGUGGUCCACAGGUGC